GCAGUGUAGGUGGAAGCAGCGGUGGAGGAGGAGGAGGUAGCCAACACUGUUUUUUAUAUAUAUAUUUUUUAAUUGGGGUAGCCCCCAAAAUAUUGGGACAUAUAAAAAAAAAGACAACUCUGUUCCACAGAGUAGCUGUUGACAUUAUAGUUGUGCAGGCACUUUGUUGACUCUAGAGAAGCUUGGGCCAAUCGCACAUCCCCGUGACGGCGACUUUGCUUUCGGAUAUCAUCCAUAUCAACUUUCGAUGCCUGUUUCUGCGCCUACCAUGGUGACCACGGAUAACGGGUAAUCAGGGUUCCAUUCUGUACAGGGACCCUGAGAAACAGCUAUCACAUGCAAGGAAGGCAGCAGGCG